CAGAGUUGAUCACUAUGGAAGCAUUCAGUUCUGCUUGCUUCCUUAUCCCAUUGUGUAUUGUCCUGGAUGAAAGGCGUAUGAAAAAUAGGUUAAGGUUAUGUGUGUCCAUACAGACAGACUUUGUUACUAGAGUAAAAAGCAAUAGCACCAUAGCAUUGAAGGUGGACAACAUCCAAUAAAGAAUAUCUCAUGAAGAAAAUAAGUAACAGGAGCGCUAUUUGUGAUCCCCCAGACACAGGAGAUCAGACCCAGACACAGACCUGAGCCCUAGGACCAUGCCCCAGGACUACCUGACAUGAUGACUCCUUGCUGUCUCCAGUCCACCUGACCGUGCUGCUGCUCCAGUUUCAACUGUUCUGCCUUAUUAUUAUUUCGACCAUGCUGGUCAUUUAUGAACAUUUGAACAUCUUGGCCAUGUUCUGUUAUAAUCUCCACCCGGCACAGCCAGAAGAGGACUGGCCACCCCACAAAGCCUGGUUCCUCUCUAGGUUUCUUCCUAGUUUUUCCUAGCCACCGUGCUUCUACACCUGCAUUGCUUGCUGUUUGGGGUUUUAGGCUGGGUUUCUGUACCGCACUUUGAGAUAUCAGCUGAUGUACGAAGGGCUAUAUAAAUACAUUUGAUUUGAUUCAAUUUGUUAUACCCAUUUACCAAAAGGUGCCCUUCUUUGGUAAACCUCCCUGGUCUUUGUAGUUGAAACUGUGUUUAAAAAUCACUGCUCGACUGAGGGACCUUACAGAUAAUGAAUUGUAUCUGUGGGGUACAGAGAUGAGAGAGUGAUUCAAAAAUCGUGUUAAACACUAUCAUUGCACAAAGAGUGAGCCCGUGCAACUUAUUAUGUGACCUGUUAAGCACAUUUAUACUCCUGAAUUUAUUUAUGCUUGCCAUAACAAAGGGGUUGAAUACUUAUUGACUCAACACGUUUCAGAUUUUAAUUUUGUAUUUAUUUGUAAAAACGACAAAUCUAAAAACCUAUUCCACUUUGACAUGGAGUAUAAUGUAGGUCUAUAGUGAUUAUGAUUGAGCAGAGUGCCGUCAGACAUGGUGGAAGCACAGCUAGGCCUGAUUAGCAAGUCCUUUUAAUAUACUCUUACUGAGUAUUGGUAUUCAGAUGAGAGCAUGGACCAGGAAACCACCAACCUCAACCAUUCACUUCUAUAAGAAUUACACUUUAAAUUGAUAAAGCCUGCUGAGCGUUA